rnacentral:tRNA from 1 species
GUCCCUGUAGUCUAGCUUGGACAGAACGCAAGAUUGCGGAUCUUGAGACCCGGGUUCAAAUCCCGGCAGGGACG